GAGGAUGGCUGCGCAGACUGUUGGUAACUCAGUAUCCGAGUUUCUGUCGGGCUUCAGCGAUGGGAAGACAGACUCGGCAGCGAGAGUUUCUUUCAAGUACGGGUGCACGAGGGGAGUCUUUGGCGCGCCGUUUUUCUUUGUGAACGGUUUCCUCGAGCCUAGGGGCGGAUCGCCCAUCGACUACAGCACGUGGAUUGGCAUCCUGGACCCCCUUGUUUCCCAGAACGGUGAACGGGUCGAGAUGUUUACUUCGAUGUAAGUGAUUGAAGUGGCCUUGCUACGGAGGAUACGACCGUACAGAUGUUUCGCUAGUGCCGACGGCGGACAAGCAAACAACUAUUAUGCAAUUGCAAACUGUGUGUAAGCUCUGCAGUGGUAAACAGCAUCCCACUUUGCUCGUUGGACUGUUAAGCUAGCAGUUGUGUGCUAGCUACAGCUAGUAUAUCGGGUAAGUAUGUGAAGAAACUCUUGCAUUGGAGCCUGCGAUAUGUUAAACUUCGCAUGAUCCUAUAUUCGCAUUCGCUC